GGAUGGUGCAGAAUCAAGGCUGUGCAGGAGGAUGUGGGAUGGUGCCACUUCAAAGUAAAAGGCAUGGCUUUGGCGACACACAUUUAAAUGAGCUGUGGGAAAAUAGGCACACAGCAGCUAUUUUUAAUUCAUGUUAAAACUUUCAGAGCCAGAGUUGCUCAUAGGUACUGGCUUCGGAUGUUGGAGAGGAAGGCUUUCUCAGCUGACCGCUAACUUCCUUGGUGACAGCAAGAAGGUGGGAAAGAGCCCAGGGAAAGUGGCAGGUAGCAGGGCCGGCCCGUUUUUCACUGUUUUAUCAUCACUCUCUCCAGACUCAGUUCAGCUUUGAGGUUUCCAGCCUUGUUCCUGUCCACACCACCCUCAGUCAGCUCCUUCAUGUAAUACUUCUCCUUCCCUUAAGGCCUGCUCUCAGGAAAAGAUCUAGAUGUCCCUUUCUUUGUAGACUGAUAGUAGCUUGAAUUCACCUUUACAGAAGUGUUUGUACUCUAGUGAGGCUGUUUCUCAACGCAAGGGGGGAGGCCUGAGCUGGACUCUGGCGUUAGUCUGCAGGUAUGGCCUCUUUCUGGGCAGGGGUCUUCCUGGCCCAGUGAAAGCAGAGUGUAUAGGCGGCUACCUUUCUGCGUCACUCUGACACACCCAGAUUCAGUUGGUGCUACUUAGAAUCAGGUUUUGUUUUAAUUUUUUGGCCACACCCAUGGCAUUUGGAAGUUCCCAGGCCAGGGAUUGAACCUGUGCCACAGUAGUGACAAUGCCAGAUCCUUAACCACCAGGCCACCAAGGAACUCAGCAUCAGGUUUUUAAAGCUGGGGAGAACCUGGUUAAGUUUUAUUCUCUUAGAGAUAAAGAAACUGAGACCCAAAGGGAUGAAAUCCUUCUCAAUGUGGCACUCGACUGCUGCAGCUGAUCAGCAUGCCAUGCAAGGUCAGCUUUGCCAUACUUAUUUGUUAAGGCUGGCAGAGGCAUUUCUCUUCUCUCUCUCUCUCUUUUAACAUUAGGAGGCCGUGGAAUCUACUCAAGCAGCUGGAAAAGCAGCAAAGUAUUCAUUUUAGACUCAUUUAGAGAAGCAAGCUCGGAAAUGCUUGGGCUGCUCCUUGCAACAAAUUUGGAUCCUCUUAAAAGCUUGUCUAAGCUUUAGCAUAUCCCCGUAGUGGGAAGUCUUUAAUAUUCACUGACGCAAGGAGGAGGUUUUGACCCUUCAAAUGUCACCGUACUUUUAACCGUAUAACGUAUAACCAAAUAACAAAGUAAAAAUACCUCCAAGUAAAGGGGAAUUAUUUGAGGUUCAAGUUUAGGGGACCAGCUGCUUUGGUGAAAUAAUCCACUCUGCGUUUUAGACUCUCUGGAAAAGAGACAUGAGGGAUGGGGGCAUUAGAGGUCUGCAAGUCCGAGCCCUACAGUCCACUGCUCUGCCUGGGUUCUCUUGGGAGAUGACUCAGGAGCUGGUCAGGGACCUUGGGCAGAGAACUGGUGAGAGGCACAGAUCACCUGUGCUGGGGUGUCAGCCCUUACUAGCUGAGGGAAGACAGGCAAGUUAAUUGACCUCCCUGUGCCUCAGUCUCCUGAUCUGUAAAAUGGGGACCAUAAUAGUAUCUCCUUCCCAGAGUUGUUAUGAAGAUGAAUGGAAAUGCACAUUAAAGCACCCAGCAGCUGACAUAUAACAAGCUCAAAUAAAGGUUAGAUGUCAGUGGCAGUGCUGUCUAAGGCUGCAUUAAUUAGUUUAAAAUUGAAGCCACUUUGCCUUUUUUUUUUUUUUUUUUUUUUUGACUCUUCUUCCCAUGGUUAUGUGAUGAUCUUGUUACACACAAGAAAAAGAUUGCUUUCACAAUCUAGAUUCACCGGAGAACUCCCUAUAGCCUCCCCCUUUCCUCUUCAUCAGGAGGAUCCACCAUGAGAGUCCCUAUAUCUCAACCCGGAGAACUCCUCAAUCCUCUGGAGUUGCUCUUUUCGAAUCUUCAAACCCAGGAUCUUAGCUGUCUAUUUUCUGAAGCUGUAGAGACAGCCACUCAAGGAACAGAUUUUCUAGAGGAUACUUUAUUCAAUUAGUUAGUCAAUUCCCUUGUAGAUGGGAAAUUAUCCCUAAACCAUCCCCACCAACCGAGGAGCCUCUACAGUGAGAAGCAAAGAUGAUGUUGAGAUGUAACAAUAGGAUACCUCAUUUGCAAUGCAAAUGAGCAACCAGCAGGCAAAUAAACCCUUAUGGGAAAACCACUCUAAUCAUAAAAACCCCUUGCUUUGGGGAGACUGCAGUGUAAGGACAAACAGAAUCAUAUCUUCCAGGCUCUUCUCCAAUACAGGAUAUUAAAGAAUUAUCCAGGUAGUUCUCUAUGAAAUUGCAUUUGAAUAUGGCAAAAUGCAUUGCUGGACAAUAGAUAAUAUCUUUAAAACUCCACAAUUGUGGACUGAAUUAUUUAUGGUUGUCACUAUAGCUAUGAUAGUUUGGAAAUAAAAUCGUCAGGCUUUUCUCUGUUUUUAUUUGUAGGAAAACAAGUCAUUCAAGCUUUUUAGUGAUACAAUGUGACUGGCUGUCGAUGGCAGUUACAAUUUUUCAAGCCCUGCCAAACACAGGAGUACCCAGAAGGGACAUAUGUUUUCUGUGCUUUGUGUUCCAAAUUCGCUUUAAAAACAUGCGAUUAUGUGAAGGCCUGAUUUAUAUUUCCAAGGAAAAGCACAAUAAUGGCUGUUUUGUAGCUGUGUUUCUCGAAAACGUGUUUCUAUUGCUGCCUUUUCAAAAGAAUUUGGCUAAUGAUCACUGGAUUUUCACUUUCCGUCAUGACGUAUUAAAAUUUGAUGAGGUCUGUGAAAUUUAAGAACUGAUUUCUUAAGUGCAGUGGAAAUGUAGUUAACAUCGUUUGGUACUGCAACCCUGGAAACAUCUUCUGUGGCUACCUUUAAUCCACUUCCUUAUUUUUGUGGACAAUGGGAGAAGAAGAAGCAGGGGUAUUUGUAGCCAGGAGGCAAAGAGGGGAUAGAAUGACCAGGAUAACAAAGAGCAAACCUUGGAAGGUACGUAGGCCUAUAGGUAUGCAUGAGUGUAAGUAGAAGACAAGGUGUUGCGGACAUUUCCAGGGGACAGAGGGAUGACUCUGGAGAGGAAAGGAAAUUGUGAAGGAGGAAAUGAAGUUCAUUCAUUCACACUAAGCUGGAAGUAUAAGGAUUGUCCUUUACAAAGGCCAAAUUAUUGAGACAGUAGCUAAGAGACUGGAGGUGAGGCUGAAGCAUCCCCUGUGGUCUGUUCAAUGAACUCAGGAGAGGUGAUAAAAGAACCAAAUUCCUAACACCGUGGGUACCAAGAGCCUCUGGCCAUAACAUCAGAAAAUUUAGCCCAGAAAGAGUCCUCAGAUCAUUUCCCCCAGGGUCUCCUUGUGAUUCAGCUUGGGGUGAAAUGGAACGAGGAGCAGAGGAUGGGGCACGUGGCCGUUCUGAUGCACUGGACUCCUGUCAGGAAAGAGCAUCUUUGGAAUGCGAUCUGGCAAAACAUUUUUCGGUCUCCCGUUUCUGCUGUCAGUCCCAUUCCUGAUCUUUUCUCUCCCAAGUCAACGCCUAUUUUCUCCUUUCCUUCCAUGACCUGCUACUUCUUCCUUCCUUCCCGCCCAGUUGAGUCAAGCCUACCCCAGAAUUUGGGGCUAAGGAUUCAGUUGACUUGGAGGAAAGACUGGAAAUGAGGGUUGGAAUAUCCCAGGUGUUACUCGGAAGCUCACCUCUCCCACUGGCCUCUCAUAGAGAGGAAUUAUGGGUUUCCAGAAAUUGCAUUUUGUGGGCAUACCCUUAGCAUUAUAUGUUUUUAACUUAUUUUCUUUUUGCUUUGAUGAGUUCGAACAUCAAGUGACCCUUGAAGCGCUACAACACUUAAAUGCACUCUUUCAGGUAGGAACUGAGCAGGUGAGCUUCUAAACAUUCACUGGGUAAUUUGAUUUUCUCUUCGAUGGUUGGUUUUUUGGUGAAAAGUACAGUCCUUUUAGUUCCUAUAAAAUAGCAAUGAAGAGUAAAUUCUCUGUAAAUGUCACUUCUUAAUGGAAUUAGAAACAAAUUGUGAAUGCAUCAGAACCAAAGGGAUAACGUGUUAGAAGUUGACAGAAUUCAGGUAAGUCCAAUCAGACAUUCAGUUCUUUGGACUCUUGCUUUCAGACUAAACAAAAUACAGCUAUGUUCAUAGCUAAUUAUUCUCUUUCCAUCUUAGGAGUAUGAGAAAAGAGGAAGACAGCUGUUGGAUAUGGAGACUUUCAAAUGCAUAAUGAAGCAGAGCAUGAGGUUACAGAAUAAAAGUACUGAACAAAUAGAACAACUUUUCAUGAAAAUAGACUAUGAAGCAGUGGGCAGAAUUCAUUGGGAUGGCUUCUGCACAUAUCUGCAGUUAGCAUAUUCAGAGCAAGCUGAUGCUUUGGCUCGACAGAAAGAGGUUUCCUUCCAGCUGCCUGCUGUGCUGCAGGGACUGUCGUACGGGGGACCCGUGCUGCGCAUUCUCUCUGUGCCUGAUGACACCUUAAUCAUGAUCAGAGAAGAUGGAGCCAUUUAUUUCUGGUCCCUGCAGCUGAAGUUGAAAAGAAGAAAGCGAGUUUUUGACAAGCCCAUCAUUCGGAAGCGCCGGUGGGUGACGGAUGCCACCAGCAUGCCACAGUACAACAAACUGAUCCUAGGAACUGGAAACCGCGAAAUCCAGCUGUAUGAGUUCUCUAACUUGGAGCCUUACUGUCAGAUUGGUGGCCUGGAAGCUGUCCCUCUGAAACUGGACUACUGGUACGAGGAUCCUGACAAGUGCCUGAUUCUCUAUGGUGAUGACCAGGGAUGUGUGAACAUUCUGUUUUUGGCUUCUGUCGGUGAACUAUUAAGGGGACGUCACACCCCAGGUCCCUCUCAUGGGGGAGGUCACACUCCAGAUCCCUUUCAGAGGAAGUCACAUACCACACCUCCCAUCCUCAGGGAAGAAGUCACUCCAGGUCAAGUGUGCUGUUACUCUUGGUGGCUGAGGGUCCCCAGGAGGCAGCCGUCUCAGUCCUAUCACAGUGACACUCUGGAGCCAGAAGCAUGGAGAACUUGGAAGAAGCUGCCCACAGUUGAGAACAUGCCAAACAUUAGCAUUAAUAAUGCUGUGAAUUCUCCAAAUGUGAAUUACAUCCGCUGGAAAGUGCACGGAGACUGGGUUACUCAGCUGAACUACUACGAUUCUAUCAAUGCCGUUAUCUCAAGCUCCAAUCAUGAGCCCACUGCUCUAGUCAUAGGAUGCACUGUGGGAACUACAAAUGUCAAGCAAAAGAUGAAAGAGAUGAGGGAUGUAAGAAGAGAUGGCAAGGCAAGACAAGGCCACGCAUUCCUUGGUUUGCUCCAAAGGCGGGCAGAAUGUGAUUGGACUGUGUUUCGCGUCCCUAAAGGAGUCCAGGCAUUUUCGUUCUGUAAGAGAAAGAACGUGCUGUUGACAGGUGGAAUGGAUCGAGUAAUUAGAGUCUGGAGUCUGGAAUCCUUAUCUGCCUGGGUAAGUCUUACUCCUCUCUGCAGCCAACAGUGCUCUAGUAAGUACAGGAGAGCAGGACCUGGGCUCGCUAGUUCCCCUGUAGGAUAA
rnacentral:lncRNA from 1 species